rnacentral:rRNA from 1 species
UGCAAGUCGUACGCACUGGCCCAACUGAUUGAUGGUGCUUGCACCUGAUUGACGAUGGAUCACCAGUGAGUGGCGGACGGGUGAGUAACACGUAGGUAACCUGCCCCGGAGCGGGGGAUAACAUUUGGAAACAGAUGCUAAUACCGCAUAACAACAAAAGCCACAUGGCUUUUGUUUGAAAGAUGGCUUUGGCUAUCACUCUGGGAUGGACCUGCGGUGCAUUAGCUAGUUGGUAAGGUAACGGCUUACCAAGGCGAUGAUGCAUAGCCGAGUUGAGAGACUGAUCGGCCACAAUGGAACUGAGACACGGUCCAUACUCCUACGGGAGGCAGCAGUAGGGAAUCUUCCACAAUGGGCGCAAGCCUGAUGGAGCAACACCGCGUGAGUGAAGAAGGGUUUCGGCUCGUAAAGCUCUGUUGUUGGAGAAGAACGUGCGUGAGAGUAACUGUUCACGCAGUGACGGUAUCCAACCAGAAAGUCACGGCUAACUACGUGCCAGCAGCCGCGGUAAUACGUAGGUGGCAAGCGUUAUCCGGAUUUAUUGGGCGUAAAGCGAGCGCAGGCGGUUGCUUAGGUCUGAUGUGAAAGCCUUCGGCUUAACCGAAGAAGUGCAUCGGAAACCGGGCGACUUGAGUGCAGAAGAGGACAGUGGAACUCCAUGUGUAGCGGUGGAAUGCGUAGAUAUAUGGAAGAACACCAGUGGCGAAGGCGGCUGUCUGGUCUGCAACUGACGCUGAGGCUCGAAAGCAUGGGUAGCGAACAGGAUUAGAUACCCUGGUAGUCCAUGCCGUAAACGAUGAGUGCUAGGUGUUGGAGGGUUUCCGCCCUUCAGUGCCGGAGCUAACGCAUUAAGCACUCCGCCUGGGGAGUACGACCGCAAGGUUGAAACUCAAAGGAAUUGACGGGGGCCCGCACAAGCGGUGGAGCAUGUGGUUUAAUUCGAAGCUACGCGAAGAACCUUACCAGGUCUUGACAUCUUGCGCUAACCUUAGAGAUAAGGCGUUCCCUUCGGGGACGCAAUGACAGGUGGUGCAUGGUCGUCGUCAGCUCGUGUCGUGAGAUGUUGGGUUAAGUCCCGCAACGAGCGCAACCCUUGUUACUAGUUGCCAGCAUUAAGUUGGGCACUCUAGUGAGACUGCCGGUGACAAACCGGAGGAAGGUGGGGACGACGUCAGAUCAUCAUGCCCCUUAUGACCUGGGCUACACACGUGCUACAAUGGACGGUACAACGAGUCGCAAGCUCGCGAGAGCAAGCUAAUCUCUUAAAGCCGUUCUCAGUUCGGACUGUAGGCUGCAACUCGCCUACACGAAGUCGGAAUCGCUAGUAAUCGCGGAUCAGCAUGCCGCGGUGAAUACGUUCCCGGGCCUUGUACACACCGCCCGUCACACCAUGGGAGUUUGUAACGCCCAAAGUCGGUGGCCUAACCUUUAUGGAGGGA